rnacentral:pre_miRNA from 1 species
ACUGGGGGGGGGGUCCCUCAGCCUGGAUUGUGAGAGGGUGUAGGCCAGGCUGAGGGACCCCACCGGUGCAUG